rnacentral:rRNA from 1 species
CUAUACAUGCAGUCGAGCGAACAGAUGAGAAGCUUGCUUCUCUGAUGUUAGCGGCGGACGGGUGAGUAACACGUGGGUAACCUACCUAUAAGACUGGGAUAACUCCGGGAAACCGGGGCUAAUACCGGAUAAUAUUUUGAACCGCAUGGUUCAAUAGUGAAAGACGGUUUCGGCUGUCACUUAUAGAUGGACCCGCGCCGUAUUAGCUAGUUGGUAAGGUAAUGGCUUACCAAGGCGACGAUACGUAGCCGACCUGAGAGGGUGAUCGGCCACACUGGAACUGAGACACGGUCCAGACUCCUACGGGAGGCAGCAGUAGGGAAUCUUCCGCAAUGGGCGAAAGCCUGACGGAGCAACGCCGCGUGAGUGAUGAAGGUCUUCGGAUCGUAAAACUCUGUUGUUAGGGAAGAACAAAUUUGUUAGUAACUGAACAAGUCUUGACGGUACCUAACCAGAAAGCCACGGCUAACUACGUGCCAGCAGCCGCGGUAAUACGUAGGUGGCAAGCGUUAUCCGGAAUUAUUGGGCGUAAAGCGCGCGUAGGCGGUUUCUUAAGUCUGAUGUGAAAGCCCACGGCUCAACCGUGGAGGGUCAUUGGAAACUGGGAAACUUGAGUGCAGAAGAGGAGAGUGGAAUUCCAUGUGUAGCGGUGAAAUGCGCAGAGAUAUGGAGGAACACCAGUGGCGAAGGCGGCUCUCUGGUCUGUAACUGACGCUGAUGUGCGAAAGCGUGGGGAUCAAACAGGAUUAGAUACCCUGGUAGUCCACGCCGUAAACGAUGAGUGCUAAGUGUUAGGGGGUUUCCGCCCCUUAGUGCUGCAGCUAACGCAUUAAGCACUCCGCCUGGGGAGUACGACCGCAAGGUUGAAACUCAAAGGAAUUGACGGGGACCCGCACAAGCGGUGGAGCAUGUGGUUUAAUUCGAAGCAACGCGAAGAACCUUACCAAAUCUUGACAUCCUUUGACCGCUCUAGAGAUAGAGUCUUCCCCUUCGGGGGACAAAGUGACAGGUGGUGCAUGGUUGUCGUCAGCUCGUGUCGUGAGAUGUUGGGUUAAGUCCCGCAACGAGCGCAACCCUUAAGCUUAGUUGCCAUCAUUAAGUUGGGCACUCUAGGUUGACUGCCGGUGACAAACCGGAGGAAGGUGGGGAUGACGUCAAAUCAUCAUGCCCCUUAUGAUUUGGGCUACACACGUGCUACAAUGGAUAAUACAAAGGGCAGCGAAUCCGCGAGGCCAAGCAAAUCCCAUAAAAUUAUUCUCAGUUCGGAUUGUAGUCUGCAACUCGACUACAUGAAGCUGGAAUCGCUAGUAAUCGAUAGAUCAGCAUGCUACGGUGAAUACGUUCCCGGGUCUUGUACACACCGCCCGUCACACCACGAGAGUUUGUAACACCCGAAGCCGGUGGAGUAACCUUUUAGGAGCUAGCCGUCGAAGGUGGAC